rnacentral:rRNA from 1 species
CCUACGGGAGGCAGCAGUGAGGAAUCUUCCACAAUGGGCGAAAGCCUGAUGGAGCGACACCGCGUGAAGGAUGAAGCCUUUGUUGGUGUAAACUUCUUUUCUCUUGGAAGAUAAUGACGGUACAAGAGGAAUAAGGGGCGGCAAACUUCGUGCCAGCAGCCGCGGUAAUACGAGGGCCCCAAGCGUUAUCCGGAAUUACUGGGCGUAAAGCGUCUGUAGGUGGUUUUUUAAGUUUCGUAUGAAACUCCAGGGCUCAACCCUGGAUUGUGCGAAAAACUGGAGAACUUGAGUGUGGGAGAGGCAAGCAGAACGGUAUGAGUAGGGGUGCAAUCCGUUGAUACAUACCAGAAUACCAAAAGCGAAGGCAGCUUGCUGGAACACUACUGACACUGAGAGACGAAAGCGUGGGGAGCGAAAGGGAUUAGAUACCCCUGUAGUCCACGCCCUAAACGAUGGAUGCUAGGUGUUGGACGUAAGUUCAGUGCUCAAGCUAACGCAUUAAGCAUCCCGCCUGAGGAGUACGGCCGCAAGGUUAAAACUCAAAUGAAUAGACGGGGACCCGCACAAGCAGUGGAUCAUGUGGUUUAAUUCGACAAUAAACGAGGAACCUCACCUAGGCUUGACAUUGAUAGAAUCCACCAGAAAUGGAGGAGUGCCCGCAAGGGAGCUUGAAAACAGGCGCUGCAUGGUUGUCGUCAGCUCGUGCCUUGAGGUGUUCGGUUAAGUCCGUUAACGAGCGCAACCCACGUCGUUAGUUACUAUGUCUAACGAGACUGCUUGAGUUAAUCAAGAGGAAGGUGUGGAUGACGUCAAAUCAGCAUGGCCCUUAUGCCUAGGGCUACACACAUGAUACAAUGGUCGGUACAAACAGUCGCAAUACAGCAAUGUGGAGCCAAUCUGAAAAAGCCGAUCUCAGUCCAGAUUGGGGGCUGCAACUCGCCCCCAUGAAGUUGGAAUUGCUAGUAAUCGUAAAUCAGCUAUGUUACGGUGAAUCUGUUCCCGGGUCUUGUACUCACCGCCCGUCAAACCAUGGGAGGUGUGCGUACCUUAAGCCCUUCGAGCAAUACGGAGGUCCACGGUAAACACACUGACUGGGGUUAAGUCGUAACAAGGUAUCCGUACGUGAACGUGCGGAUG